rnacentral:rRNA from 1 species
CGUCACACCGCCCGUCACACCAUGGGAGUUGGCUUUACCCGAAGAUGGUGCGUUAACCCGCAAGGGAGACAGCCAGCCACGGUAGGGUCAGCGACUGGGGUG